UACGUAGGGUGCAAGCGUUGUCCGGAAUUAUUGGGCGUAAAGAGCUCGUAGGCGGUUUGUCGCGUCGACUGUGAAAACCCGAGGCUUAACCUCGGGCCUGCAGUCGAUACGGGCAGACUAGAGUUCGGUAGGGGAGACUGGAAUUCCUGGUGUAGCGGUGAAAUGCGCAGAUAUCAGGAGGAACACCGGUGGCGAAGGCGGGUCUCUGGGCCGAUACUGACGCUGAUGCGCGAAAGCCAGGGGAGCAAACGGG
rnacentral:rRNA from 1 species